rnacentral:rRNA from 1 species
UACGGAGGGGGCUAGCGUUGUUCGGAAUUACUGGGCGUAAAGCGCACGUAGGCGGCUUUGUAAGUUAGAGGUGAAAGCCCCCGGCUCAACUGGGGAGGGUCACUCGAUACUGGUCGACUCGAAGGCAGGAGAGGGUAGUGGAAUUCCCGGUGUAGUGGUGAAAUGCGUAGAUAUCGGGAGGAACACCAAUAGCGAAGGCAGCUCGCUGGAACGUUACUGACGCUGAGACGCGAAAGCGUGGGGAGCAAACAGG